CCCUCUGCUGCUCCAGAAGACGCCUGCACGGGCGAUAGCAUUGUGUCCCUGUCCAAAGACCUGCCGGCUGCCCUAUUCCGCCAUGUCUUUAUCAUGCUAAUACAGCCAGAAGCAGGGAGGCGGGAGGAGAGGAACGAUGGCACCAUAAAUAGAGGAGAGGAUUUGUUCUACACAUUGGAUAUAUGACGUUUAAGAUAUCUGAGGGUCAAAACUCAGAUCAGCCUGCGCCGCUGAUCCAUGGAUGCUAAUGGGCCUUCCUGCUGCUUCCAUAGCACACACCAUUGCUGCUGCAGGAACACCCAGAGGCUCUCUUCAUGUUUGUUUUUGUUUUGAAAAAAAGGUACAAAUGAAAACUGAAAGAACAAUAUUUGUGUGUGUGAUACUCAUGUACAGUACACGUGUCCACGUGUGUAUGUGUGUGUGUAUGGAGAUGAUU